AGAUUGAACGCUGGCGGCAGGCUUAACACAUGCAAGUCGAGCGGGGAAAUGUAGCUUGCUACAUUACCUAGCGGCGGACGGGUGAGUAAUGCUUAGGAAUCUGCCUAUUAGUGGGGGACAACAUUUCGAAAGGAAUGCUAAUACCGCAUACGCCCUACGGGGGAAAGCAGGGGAUCUUCGGACCUUGCGCUAAUAGAUGAGCCUAAGUCGGAUUAGCUAGUUGGUGGGUAAAGGCCUACCAAGGCGACGAUCUGUAGCGGGUCUGAGAGGAUGAUCCGCCACACUGGACUGAGACACGGCCCAGACUCCGUACGGGAGGCAGCGAGUGGGGAAUAGUUGGACGAAGUGGGGGGAACCCUGAUCCAGCCAUCGCCGCGUGUGUAGAAGAGGUCCGUUUUGGUUAGUAA
rnacentral:rRNA from 1 species